CUACAAUGGCCCUCAUUAAUACUUUUUCUUCAUUGCUCACUGGUACUGGCAGGUCAGGAUCUGGGGUGCAUAUGAGGUAAUUUGCAAAAACAAAGUGUCUAGUUGAUUGAACGAAGCACAAGAAUGCGAGGAAGCAGGACUGGGAUACAUUAUAAUGCAGAAAACUAAAGGGAAGCAAUGAGAAUGAAGGAAGAAGGAGGACUUGCCUGCAUGAUUCUUUGAACCCAUAUUUUUCUGUUAUCGUUCUCAAAGCCCAUGCUUGUAGUGAUAGGACGAUGAAGAUACCUGUGAAGGAGAAAGAGGUCGUAACCAAACAUGAUGAGCAAUCCACAAGGGACCAGAACCAGAUCAAGGUACUCCUUCUGGGAAGGGAACUCCAUGAUUAUUUUUCCUUUCAAGGAGAUCCAAUGAAAGAUAGAUAGAGGAUGCUUAUAUUGCUUCAUUUUAUAAACUUGGUCCCUUAAAACAGGCAUCUAACUUCAUCUUUGGUACAUAAUAUUUAAUUUGAUAGAA